rnacentral:piRNA from 1 species
UACAGAAAGUGACCCAGAGUGGUUGUGGAC